rnacentral:rRNA from 1 species
CCGAGUUUACAACUCCCAAACCCAAUGUGAACGUUACCAAACUGUUGCCUCGGCGGGAUCUCUGCCCCGGGUGCGUCGCAGCCCCGGACCAAGGCGCCCGCCGGAGGACCAACCUAAAACUCUUAUUGUAUACCCCCUCGCGGGUUUUUUUAUAAUCUGAGCCUUCUCGGCGCCUCUCGUAGGCGUUUCGAAAAUGAAUCAAAACUUUCAACAACGGAUCUCUUGGUUCUGGCAUCGAUGAAGAACGCAGCGAAAUGCGAUAAGUAAUGUGAAUUGCAGAAUUCAGUGAAUCAUCGAAUCUUUGAACGCACAUUGCGCCCGCCAGUAUUCUGGCGGGCAUGCCUGUCCGAGCGUCAUUUCAACCCUCGAACCCCUCCGGGGGGUCGGCGUUGGGGAUCGGCCCUCCCUUAGCGGGGUGGCCGUCUCCGAAAUACAGUGGCGGUCUCGCCGCAGCCUCUCCUGCGCAGUAGUUUGCACACUCGCAUCGGGAGCGCGGCGCGUCCACAGCCGUUAAACACCCAACUUCUGAAAUGUUGACCUCGGAUCAGGUAGGAAUACCCGCUGAACUUAAGCAUAUCAA